AGAAUCAACGCUGGCGGCGUGCCUAACACAUGCAAGUCGCACGAGAAAGGGAGUUCGCUCCUGAGUAAAGUGGCGCACGGGUGAGUAACACGUGAAUCAUCUACCUCCGAAUGGGGAAUAACUGAGAGAAAUCUUAGCUAAUACCGCAUAAUACCUACGGGUCAAAGCAGCAAUGCGUUUGGAGAGGAGUUCGCGGUCGAUUAGUUAGUUGGCGGGGUAAUGGCCCACCAAGACGAUGAUCGAUA
rnacentral:rRNA from 1 species